rnacentral:misc_RNA from 1 species
GCCCAUAGCAACACAAACAAGCCUGACACAAAGCGCCAUUUUUCUAUUGAUCGGAUACUAUGCAUGAAUUAUGUGUGUGUGCAGUGAGCCAUCUGCAACACAUGUAUACAAUAAUACCUAUGUAUGCACGCCGUCAAGGGUCUGACUAUAGAGCAAGGACCCGUUUAUUUUCAACUUGAAAAUAGGUAGGGCCUAAACCUACAGGCGAAAAACGUCUCCAACAGUCACGCUGCUGCAUGAGGUUGCAGAGAGGUAGGCCUAGCGAGUUGAAUCUGAAAUAUUAUAGGUGUCCAAGAUGUCGAACGAAAAUGAGCCGGAAGACCAAACUGAAGAGGAAGAUAUGGUUGUGCUAGAUACGGACGAAAACGCCAACAAGACACCGGCUGGUAGCAGAGCGCCCAGCCGGGCCAAGAGUCGAGGCAGUAUCGGAGAUGAUCGCAAGACAAUAACCAGGAAAGGUGGUCGAUCAACAGCCCGCCCUGACAGUAGACUGUCUGGAGUGGAUGAUAAUGAGUCCCAGAUUGAUGACUCUGCCCGAUCAGAGACAACAUACAGCGAGAGCAGUGGCUUUGAUACAGACCUAGAGGUUGAAGACACCAUUUUGGCACUGAAGAGAAAUGUGCGUGAGGCUUAUGAUGCAUCAGGUAAAUCCACCUACAAGGAAGCUUGUCGACUGAAUGGCGUGAUACCUGUCUCAUACUUUCUUAGACACAUAGCUGACUCAGAGCUGACUAUGAAGCAUCAUGGUCUAGGGCCUGCUGGAGCCAAGGCUAUUGCUAUCUCGCUGGUGACUAACACUACAAUUUGUAAGUUGAACCUGAGUGAUAACUGGCUAGAUGCUGUUGGUGGAAUUGCCAUCGCUGAUAUGCUCAAAGAAAACUGCUACAUAACUGAUCUGGACCUUUCAGAGAACAAAUUGGGUAACUCAGGAGCGAAAGCCUUGAGUGAAAUGCUUCUGCAGAACAGUACAUUAACACAUCUCACGUUAACAGGAAACAGCUUUGAAGACAAAAGUGCAGAAUAUUUUGCUGAAGUCAUUUUGAACAAUAGCAAACUCGAGUAUGUGAAUCUGAGUCACAAUGAAUUCAGUGAGGCUGCAGGACUGCUUCUUGGGCCAGCAAUUUCUGAAAAUAUCACCAUGAGACAGCUUGAUCUGAGCUGGAACCACAUCCGAAGAAAAGGAGCCCUAGCACUUGCUAAAGGCAUCAUGAAUAACAUUGGACUGAAGGUCAUCAAUAUAUCUUGGAAUGGCUUUGGCAAUGAAGGUGCCCAGGCUCUUGGUGAAGCACUCAAAGUGAAUAGCUCAUUGGAAGAAUUAGACAUCACGAAUAACAGAAUAUCUGGUGAAGGAGCAGUUUUCUUGGGGAAAGGUUUGACCAAUAAUGAAACGCUCAAGAUUCUGAGAAUUGGGAAGAAUCCUAUGCAAGCAGCUGGAGCAUUCGCCAUCUUAAAAGCUGUCAAAGAUAAUACAAAUACCAUCAUGGAUGAAUUGGACUUUUCAGGGAUUCAAGUGAACAAAGAAUUUGAAGAUCUGUACAACCAGUUGAAGGAGACUCGUCCCAACAUUAAAAUCCAUCAUGGCGGUAUGAAAGAAGCUGUCAAACCUAAACAGAAACUGAACCCUAUGCUGAAACUACAACGCUACAUUCAGAAGAACAACUUACGCCUGGUGGACUUCUUCAACAAGUUUGACAAAGAUGGAAGUAUGAGUGUAACAUAUGAUGAGUUUGAAGAGGGACUAGUGGAGAGUGGCAUUGACCUUUCCAAAGAAGAGAUAGCUUAUAUGAUUGGUGAAUUGGACAAAGAUGGUGAUGGAGAAAUUAACUACAGCUCCAUCUACAGAUCUAUCUUAGUGCAUGAUCAUGGUACAAGGCAGGCAGCCAUGUUUUGCACUGGUCCCCUGCAGGCUCAGGCAGCUGCCAUCACCAUAGCACUGACAUUCAGCCCAACUAAUCCUCUCUUCUCGUCCUGAACCAACUUAUCAUUGUUACUUACAUCAUUUUGCUACUUUGCACUACUUCUCUUGCAAACGCCCAUAUUGCAUGAAAAAUUGAUGGCUUCCUCUUAUCACCAAACAAAAUGAGCAAAACAGACAUUUGAAUGUAGACAGCCUGUCACUGGUAACCAAGUCUUUGUAUUGUGGAAAAAAUACUCUGAUGAGGACACCAGUGAUAACGUGCUUCAUACAGAUUGAGCUGUUAUUUGGUACUGUGGAAGGACAGGAGAAGGGACGCCAACUAGAAGAGGCAAUCAAAGAAUUCAAAGAAGCUGUGGAUCGCUC